rnacentral:rRNA from 1 species
AGUGAACGCUGGCGGUAGGCCUAACACAUGCAAGUCGAACGGCAGCACAGGAGAGCUUGCUCUCUGGGUGGCGAGUGGCGGACGGGUGAGGAAUACAUCGGAAUCUACUUUUUCGUGGGGGAUAACGUAGGGAAACUUACGCUAAUACCGCAUACGACCUACGGGUGAAAGCAGGGGAUCUUCGGACCUUGCGCGAUUGAAUGAGCCGAUGUCGGAUUAGCUAGUUGGCGGGGUAAAGGCCCACCAAGGCGACGAUCCGUAGCUGGUCUGAGAGGAUGAUCAGCCACACUGGAACUGAGACACGGUCCAGACUCCCACGGGAGGCAGCAGUGGGGAAUAUUGGACAAUGGGCGCAAGCCUGAUGCAGCCAUACCGCGUGGGUGAAGAAGGCCUCCGGGUUGUAAAGCCCUUUUGUUGGGAAAGAAAUCCAGCCGGCUAAUACCUGGUUGGGAUGACGGUACCCAAAGAAUAAGCACCGGCUAACUUCGUGCCAGCCGCCGCAGUAA